AACCCCAUUCAGCUUCCCAGAUUUGUCCAGUUAAUAGCUCUAGAUUUUAUUUGUGUUUUUUUUUUUUUUGUAAAUUCUUGGGAAUGUUGAAGUCUUUCUUGUAGCAAAAAGCACUGACUGCAUUGAAUCUGUUUUACAACCGAACUAAAUAGUUUUCUGAAAGCCAAUUAGCUGUCGGACUUAACCAUCACAGUACCUUUUUCCGUGAAGCAGUUCAACUAAACCUCCUGUCAAAAUGUGCUGCGGACCUUGCUACUCGUGCUGCGGACCCUGCGGAGGAUGCUGCGGACCUUGCGGACCCUGCAGUGGCUGUUGUGGACCUUGCGGACCCUGUGGUGGCUGUUGUGGACCUUGCGGAGGAUGCUGCGGACCUUGCGGACCCUGUUGUGGUGGCUGUGGUCCCUGCUGUUAGAAACAUCUUCAGAACGAAAC